rnacentral:lncRNA from 1 species
UGGGCUCUACCACCAUACAUCGAAUACACGAAUAUCUAUCACACCAAAUAGACUCAUAGAGUCAAACAUGUCCCAUAAGUGAAGCAUAAAGCUAACACUCUCCAAGACAAAAAUUGACUCAUAGAGUCGAACAACUCCCAAAAAGUGAAGCAUAAAGCUAACACUCUCCAACAUAACAAACACAUCCUGUUGGAUGGAGCUUAGCUCACAUUGCCCUAUCUCUCC